CUCCUACUGGACGCUNCAGUGGGGAAUAUUGGGCAAUGGGGGAGACCCUGACCCAGCAACGCCGCGUGAGGGAAGAAGGUUUUCGGAUUGUAAACCUCUGUCCUCAAGGAAGAAKAAAGUGACGGUACUUGAGGAGGAAGCCCCGGCUAACUACGYGCCAGCAGCCGCGGUAAUACGUAGGGGGCGAGCGUUGUCCGGAAUGACUGGGCGUAAAGGGCGCGUAGGCGGCCUUAUAAGUCUGGAGUGAAAGUCCUGCUUUCAAGGUGGGAAUUGCUUUGGAAACUGAAAGGCUUGAGUGCGGAAGAGGUAAGUGGAAUUCCCAGUGUAGCGGUGAAAUGCGUAGAGAUUGGGAGGAACACCAGUGGCGAAGGCGACUUACUGGGCCGUAACUGACGCUGAGGCGCGAAAGCGUGGGGAGCGAACAGGAUUAGAUACCCUGGUAGUCCACGCGGUAAACGAUGAAUGCUAGGUGUAGCGGGUAUCGACCCCUGCUGUGCCGGAGUAAACACAAUAAGCAUUCCGCCUGGGGAGUACGGCCGCAAGGUUGAAACUCAAAGGAAUUGACGGGGGCCCGCACAAGCAGCGGAGCAUGUGGUUUAAUUCGAAGCAACGCGAAGAACCUUACCAGGUCUUGACAUCGAAAGAAUCCAUAGAGAUAUGGAGUGCCCUUCGGGGAGCAAGAAGACAGGUGGUGCAUGGUUGUCGUCAGCUCGUGUCGUGAGAUGUUGGGUUAAGUCCCGCAACGAGCGCAACCCUUAUGAUCAGUUACUAACGGGUAAGGCCGAGGACUCUGAUGAGACUGCCGGGGACAACUCGGAGGAAGGUGGGGACGACGUCAAAUCAUCAUGCCCCUUAUGACCUGGGCUACACACGUGCUACAAUGGUGACAACAAAGAGGAGCGAAGUCGUAAGGCGGAGCGGAUCUCAAAAAAGUCAUCUCAGUUCGGAUUGUGGGCUGCAACCCGCCCACAUGAAGUCGGAGUUGCUAGUAAUCGCGAAUCAGCAUGUCGCGGUGAAUACGUUCCCGGGCCUUGUACACACCGCCCGU
rnacentral:rRNA from 1 species